rnacentral:tRNA from 1 species
CUUACGAUAGCUCAGUUGAUAGAGCGGAGGGCUGUAGUUCCUUAGGUUGUUGGUUCGAACCGAGCUCGCAAGA